GGGGAAUUUUGGACAAUGGGCGAAAGCCUGAUCCAGCAAUGCCGCGUGCAGGAUGAAGGCCUUCGGGUUGUAAACUGCUUUUGUACGGAACGAAACGGCGAGCUCUAAUACAGUUUGCUAAUGACGGUACCGUAAGAAUAAGCACCGGCUAACUACGUGCCAGCAGCCGCGGUAAUACGUAGGGUGCAAGCGUUAAUCGGAAUUACUGGGCGUAAAGCGUGCGCAGGCGGUUCUAUAAGACAGGCGUGAAAUCCCCGGGCUCAACCUGGGAAUUGCGUUUGUGACUGUAGAGCUAGAGUACGGCAGAGGGGGAUGGAAUUCCGCGUGUAGCAGUGAAAUGCGUAGAUAUGCGGAGGAACACCGAUGGCGAAGGCAAUCCCCUGGGCCUGUACUGACGCUCAUGCACGAAAGCGUGGGGAGCAAAC
rnacentral:rRNA from 1 species